rnacentral:rRNA from 1 species
GACGAACGCUGGCGGCGUGCUUAACACAUGCAAGUCGAACGGAAAGGCCCGGCUUUUGUGGGGUGCUCGAGUGGCGAACGGGUGAGUAACACGUGAGUAACCUGCCCUUGACGUUGGGAUAACUUCAGGAAACUGGGGCUAAUACCGGAUAGGAUCUCCUGCUGCAUGGUGGGGGUUGGAAAGUUUCGGCGGUUGGGGGUGGACUCGCGGCUUAUCAGCUUGUUGGUGGGGUAGUGGCUUACCAAGGCUUGGACGGGUAGCCGGCCUGGGAGGGGGACCGGACACAUUGGGACUGAGAUACGGCCCAGACCCCUACGGGACGCAGCAGAGGGGAAUAUUGCACAAUGGGCGGAAGCCUGAUGCAGCAACGCCGCGUGGGGGAUGACGGCAUUCGGGUUGUAAACCGCUUUCGCCUGUGACGAAGCGUGAGUGACGGUAAUGGGUGAAGAAGCACCGGCUAACUACGUG